rnacentral:rRNA from 1 species
CCUACGGGAGGCAGCAGUAGGGAAUCUUCCGCAGUGGACGAAAGUCUGACGGAGCAACGCCGCGUGAGCGAUGAAGGCCUUCGGGUCGUAAAGCUCUGUUGUCAGGGAAGAACAAGUAUCGGAGUAACUGCCGGUACCUUGACGGUACCUGACCAGAAAGCCACGGCUAACUACGUGCCAGCAGCCGCGGUAAUACGUAGGUGGCAAGCGUUGUCCGGAAUUAUUGGGCGUAAAGCGCGCGCAGGCGGUUCCUUAAGUCUGAUGUGAAAGCCCCCGGCUCAACCGGGGAGGGUCAUUGGAAACUGGGGAACUUGAGUGCAGAAGAGGAGAGCGGAAUUCCACGUGUAGCGGUGAAAUGCGUAGAGAUGUGGAGGAACACCGAUGGCGAAGGCAGCCCCCUGGGUCAAGACUGACGCUCAUGCACGAAAGCGUGGGGAGCAAACAGGAUUAGAUACCCUGGUAGUCCACGCCCUAAACGAUGUCUACUAGUUGUCGGGUUUUAAUUAACUUGGUAACGCAGCUAACGCGUGAAGUAGACCGCCUGGGGAGUACGGUCGCAAGAUUAAAACUCAAAGGAAUUGACGG